rnacentral:ncRNA from 1 species
UCGCCCUGUGGUGGAUUCUCGGCGCUCAAUGUGUUUUCUUAUAUCGGUGGCGUCAAUGUUAGCCUCCCAUCCGACCCGUCUUGAAACACGGACCAAGGAGUUCAGUAGGCACGCGAGUCGUUGACGUUUUUCAUUGAACAGUCGAAGGCGAAAUGAAAGUGUUAAUGAAAAUGAACUGUACUUCUUUAUGGAGUGCUGUUCAAUUUUUCAACAUGAUCGUCCUUUUUUGUGCUUAAUUGUGCAAAAUAAUAGAUGUAUGGGGACGCGCAGUGUGGUGCCGUUGAAUAGUCGCACUGUUCUCUCUUUCUCUUCGGGGUUGGAGGAACAAUUGUCGAUCAGUCGGUUUCGGAGCGUGCACACUGGUACCCGAAAGAUGGUGAACUAUGCUUGAGCAGAAUGAAGCCAGAGGAAACUCUGGUGGAAGUUCGUAGCGGUGUUGACGUGCAAAUCACUCGUCUGACUUGAGUGUAGGGGCGAAAGACUAAUCGAACCAUCUAGUUGCUGGUUCCUUCCGAAGUUUCCCUCAGGAUAGCU